rnacentral:miRNA from 2 species
UCGGUCGAUCGGUCGGUCGGU